CCAGCCAUAGCUCAGUUGGAAGAGCGAAGGUUUGUAAUUAGGUUACCAGAUCCUCGGAUCACCUUAGGUCCCGUGUUCGAAUCACGGUGGCUGGA